CGCCGUAAACGAUGUCGAUUUUGGAGGUUGUGCCCUUGAGGCGUGGCUUCCGGAGCUAACGCGUUAAAUCGACCGCCUGGGGAGUACGGCCGCAAGGUUAAAACUCAAAUGAAUUGACGGGGGCCCGCACAAGCGGUGGAGCAUGUGGUUUAAUUCGAUGCAACGCGAAGAACCUUACCUGGUCUUGACAUCCACAGAACUUUCCAGAGAUGGAUUGGUGCCUUCGGGAACUGUGAGACAGGUGCUGCAUGGCUGUCGUCAGCUCGUGUUGUGAAAUGUUGGGUUAAGUCCCGCAACGAGCGCAACCCUUAUCCUUUGUUGCCAGCGGUCCGGCCGGGAACUCAAAGGAGACUGCCAGUGAUAAACUGGAGGAAGGUGGGGAUGACGUCAAGUCAUCAUGGCCCUUACGACCAGGGCUACACACG
rnacentral:rRNA from 1 species